CUGACCUCCACACAGCUCACCACAGUCCCCCCAGUCCGCGGCCAAACACACCACAGCAUCACACACGCCAGAGCAGGCCGCGCAACAAAUAGCCGCACACGUACUCCGCAACCACACCACAGCCGUCCGCACGCAGCCCCUUCACCAACGACAGCACAACCUCCCCAAGCACAGGCACACACGCGGAUCCUCACAGACGACGCACACACGCUGCCAUGUUCCCAGUGGCUCAGAGGAGCCAGCCCUGCUCCACGCGGCUCAGCCCCGUGACUCCUGAGCCACCACCCUGCUGGGGGGGCUGCAAUCCCCACUGCUGGUGCUCCGGGCCCACUGUGAAGCCAAGGCUUCGGACCAGGGCCGCUCCCCACAUCCCGCCCAGCUCCUCCUGGCACACCUCUCUCCCACUUCACCAUCAGAUUUUCAGCAGCAGGUGUUACCACAGAAGCCUGGGGCUGCUUUCAUGUACGCCCUGAGACAACACUGUCCCUUCUGGUGUCACCUUGCCCCUGGUAACUGUAGGCCUCCUCCUGCAUUAGAGCUGGGAUUUUCAACAUUACUCAAUGAAGGCUGAGCUGCUUCUGACUUUUCUGAGCCUCAGGUGACGUUCCCUCGUUUUAGGUCUUUCUCAAAUCCUAGGACCCCAGGGCUUGUUACUGUCAUCCUCCAUCGCUAGAAGCAACUCCAUCUAUUUCACUCCUGACUAUGAAUUUUCUAAGGCCUUUGGAUGCGCUUCCUGAGAUACAAGGGGGCAAUGGGAACCCAGCGCCUUGCAAAUGGAUCAAAUCUGCAGGCUGAGAAGGCAGUCUCCGAGGCUGAAGCCCUCUGAAAGGUGUACCUCAAGCUGAGCAGACAAAACAGGUCACAAAGCCCUUUGUGAAACUCUUGGAUGCAGGGAGGAGGAGGAAUUCAUUAAUUCAGCAAACAAGAUUUCACCCAGGGCAAAUUCUGCAUCACAUCACCUCAGCAUUACCAGAGUCCUUACAGCACCACGUGGAGCAGGAAGGUCUUGCCUGCUGAAGGAAGCCUGUACAGAACAGCAACAGGGGGAAGGAGGGGAAAGAAGGAGAAAAGAGGAAAUAUCUGGUUUCGAUCAACUCCUUAAAAAUAGAAGUCUGAUUACCAUUGCCCAUUUCUGAUUCCCCAAGGGAGAGCAGGAGAAGAAGAAUCUAUAAAUAGCUUGCAACACAGAGAAUCCUAUAGCAAAGUUGCUGGGAAAGAUCAAUAGCAUGAUUCAAGGAGGGCUCCAAAUUACAUCUCAGGGGAGGGAGGUGCUGAACGGAAUUGAUAAAUGAGUUGCAAAUGCUGUGUGUGUUGUGUGUAUCUAAUUAACGGAGGGUGACUGGGAUCAAUAGCAACGAAGGAGCUGGUCUAAAAAUAGCACUCGGGCAGGGAUUGCAACCUGCAGGCAACAGCUUGGAUGGAAAUGUCCCCUGGAGUAAUUAACCUUUAGCUGGAAAGUGGUGGUUAGCGUGGGAUCAAAGUGGAGCCUGUGGGCAGCUGGGAAGGGAUGAGGUCUCCGUGGGACUUCAGGGCACAGAGUAGCGUGACAGUCAUGGAGGGUAUAGGCACGGCCAUGAGCUUGCAGCCUUCCUCUGAUCAGGCUGCAGUGUCAAGCUGCGGAUUGAUGUAGUGCUUUCUGGAGAAAUAAUCUGAGUAUUAGCAUUUUGCUGGCGUUGUGGAACUGGAAGUAUUUGUAGUUCUGUGUACUUGCAAAGGUUUCAACAUUGCUUAGAGAAAAAAUCACAGUCAUUUUUUAAACAUCAAUUUAUAUCUACAAGAAUUUGGGUUUUUCUUCUUUUAUGCUGACCUUGUUGCCAAGAAAGUAUCCACCUCUGAGAACCAGUCUUUGCUCAUCCAGACUCACCAACAGAAGUCCAUAUUUGAACCACAGAGCAAAUAAUGUCCAAAAAGACGUGUCCUUCAAUCUUUCCAUCUACAGCAGAGCAGUCAAGCAAACUUCAGGGAGAAGGAUUGACGUUGGACAGGAUGAUCUAUGGCUCAGCUCUUGGGCUCUUCUGGAGCACCAGGCUGAGCUGGCAUCACCCAAGUGAGAGGCAAAGACACAUACACCCAGGAACAGAAAGUUCGUUGUCUGCCUCAGUGCAGGAUUGGGACCCAGGGUGUACAGCAUGACUGAAAGAAAAGGAAACCAUAAAGAUGAAGAAUCUAGAAAAUAUAUCUUUGUAAAGCUGGCAUGGAAAGGAUUAGAGGGGUUAUCAAGAAACCAUUUUCUUGAAACAGUGGCACGAAGAUGGUCAGAAUGGCAGUUCUGGUUCAGGGCCAAGGUUCAUUUAGCCCAGAAGUUUCUCUUCUGCAGAGGCUGUAGCAGACAUGAGGGAGAAAUGCAAACAGAACAAAGCUUGUGCAUGGCAGAAAGGGUGAGUUCACUUCUCAAUAUACAAGCCAAAGGUCUCUUCCAGGACUGCUGUGAAGGAUUUGGAAGAUGUUUCACUCAAACACAAAUUUAUAUAUAGGCACAAAGCUUUCAUUAAACAUGAGCAGCUAAGGGGACAGCAUCAGUCACUGAUGGUAAUGUAUGCACAUCUUGUAGGCACACUGUAGAGGAACAAGCUGCCUUGCAGAAAUUAAUACAGCAAAGGUGUUGAUUAUUGAUGCAUUUGUUACUGAAUUGACUCCGCCUAAGUUUCCAGAGCCAAUGUGACUUCCAGAUCUAUUUGUAGAUUACCAAAUGCUCACAGUGUGACUGUCGCUUUUGCAUUUACUGCAGCAGAUGCCUCAAUGUAAUAUUUGAUGUGUACUUUAGAUGACUACCUUGUGUACCAAAACUGAAUAACCCUGAAUAAGAAUAAGUCUUUGAGAACCUGGCAAAGUAGAAAGGAAAAUCCCUGUACUGGUACAGCCUUCUCCAUCAUCACCAAAGGUAACGGAGCCACAAAGAUCCAGAGCGCUGCGAGAGACGUCUACCUGUAGCAAUGGGUACUGUGUUUUGAUGCAACAAAUUCUGAAUGAAUUUGUGGAAGUGUGCAUUUUGUUAAAAUCACCACUGAAGAAGGAAAUCAAUUGCUUAGGGGGCUUCCUGGCUAGUGCAGUAAGCUACAACUGUUACUAAUGGAAUGCCACUGUAAAGGGAAAAUAGGAGCUAUCAUGAGUAUUUGCUGUAGAAUUGUCUUGUCCAGAAGAAAAGACUCCAUAUUGCUUGGAAUAUUUAAAAUAAGGCUGAAUAAAAUGUGCUGGUUUACCUUA